GGCGGCCGCGCUGAGUCCCUAGCCCGCCGGGAGCGCCAGGCCGGCCAGGCCUGCGCCGCCGCCGCCGCCGCCGCCGCCGCGCCGACCAUGUCGGCAGCCAAGGAGAACCCGUGCAGGAAAUUCCAGGCCAACAUCUUCAACAAGAGCAAGUGUCAGAACUGCUUCAAGCCCCGCGAGUCGCAUCUGCUCAACGACGAGGACCUGACGCAGGCAAAACCCAUUUAUGGUGGUUGGCUGCUCCUGGCUCCAGAUGGGACCGACUUUGACAACCCAGUGCACCGGUCUCGGAAAUGGCAGCGACGGUUCUUCAUCCUUUACGAGCACGGCCUCUUGCGCUACGCCCUGGAUGAGAUGAUGUCUUCCCAGUGACUCUCCUUGGGGCCUGGGGAAACCACAAGGGAGCUUGGAUUCAUUCACCCAUUGCUGCCUUGCUGUGUGCCUCAGAGGGGCUCAAAGGUGGAAAAUAAAUGGGAAAAAGCAUGCUUGUCUUCUAGAAUCUCGUCAGCUGGCUGGGAAGACCAAGGGGCCAGCCAUCGCAGGGAGCAUAAGCACUGAGACAGGCACACGUGCCUGCCCAGCUAUCAUAGCCAGGCUGGCAGCCUUGCAACUCCCUGGGGAAGAACAAUCUAGGAACAUUCUGGGGUGUGGAGCAGGGAGGGAGUGCCCCAUGCAAAAGGCAGGAUCAGCCGAAGCAGAGGGGCUGAAGAAGCAGUGAUUCCCUCACCUAAUGUCAGAAGUAAAAUCAGUUCAUGGUGAAAAUUUGGGGAAACAAAAUCAUGCAGCAGAAUUGCCUAUUAAACCCCACCCAGGGGUAAAAAUCGGUUCAUAUUGUGGUUAUAUAUCUAUUCUCUUAUGAUGUGUAUUUAUAUGCUUAUGUAAGACCUAAAAACAAUAAUUUUUAAAUAAACCAGUUAUUUUUGAUAAG
rnacentral:sRNA from 1 species